CCCGCCAUCAACACCACAGCUGGCUUCUGUGAUAUUAGUAAAGGAACUGUAAAUACACGCACACAGGCUUGUAGCAUCAGCCCCAAAUGAAGACAUAAGAUCAGAGAAUGGUUGGGAGGAGGUUAGAAGCAGUAACAUGGAUUGUAGUAAGAACAUGGGUCAUCUUGGCAUGUCGAAAUUGACCACCACACAUCGAAGGGACAUUGGUAGCAGUGCCUCAACUUCUGGAGGCAGCCCAAGCCUCUGCUUCAUAGCACAAAGUACGAAUGGUGAAAAUACAUCUCAAUUUUGACUGAGAAUGAAGAAGUCCGACCGCUCUACUAAGUAGCAUCACAUGAGAUACCUCUAUCUCUCAGAACUUUUCCAAUGCUCAUCAUGUUUUUAAGCACCUUCCUUGGACAUUAAUAGGUUGACUGCUAUGUCGCUGAACUUGGUGCAUGAAAGGUCAGCCUUUGAAACGCUAAAUAAGUUGAAGAAGAUGUAUGAAGUAUAUACGGAAAAGUAUGCAUCCUACAGUAGCAUUUGUAUUAAAGGACCGCUUUGUGGGAGGAUUAACUCUGAUGGAGGACAGAGCAACCAGCCACCAGUAUCCUUCAUGGCAGAGUCAGGCCUCCUGUGUCCCUGGGAAAUGCCACCUGAAAUAUCCCCCUGCACACCAGCCUUUAAAAGGGAAUUUUGCAGUGUCACAGUAGCUGAGAGCAGAUCUCUCCCUACUUUGGUAGCCAUAACAGACUCAGGAGUUUAUGCUCCUGAGCACUCUCCUGCAGAAUGAGCUAUGUGCUUCCUGGAGGUAUGAAGAGUCCAGAGAAGACAUAAGGUAACUACGGAGCGGCUUCCUCAGGAGUGGUUUGUGUCUCUAUUGAAGUACUUCAGGAUGACAGAAGAGACUUUCAAUCGUACCAGCUGCAAUAACUGACGUCUUCACUUCUAAGAGGCCCGCUCAGUUCAUCAUACCCAGUCAGCAUUGGGAUGAAGGAGGACGGCACUGUCAUGAUGAGAACACUGUGAAGGAGGAUGGCACUGUCAUGAUGAGAACACUGUGUCCUUAGAAGAUGAAGCCUUCAACACUGAACCUUAAAACCAAGCCAUCCAGCUCCUGCCAGCUCCUUGUGGUUGCCUGUGGCUCCAUGGAACUGCCACAUCAAGUAAUGAACCUCAAGGUGAACCAAACCAGGAUACCACACACAUCACACCAGCCCUCCUUUGGGAAAUGCAGACCUGUCCCAGGAGUUUCAGGCAUCCUGUGUUCAUCCUGCAUCGCCUCGUUGAAGAAGUAAAACUACCUGCUGCUGAGAACUCUGAAAAGGAGCUGCAAACGUCGAGGUUCAGAGGAACCAGGAAUCCUGGCCUGCCAUCCGUACAGCCUGCUGACCUCCAGGUGGAUGUGUGAAGCAAGGAGCUGUGCCCUGGAAGCCCCAGAUGAGUGUGUGGGUCAUGUGCUGCAAGCUCCCAGGUAACCCUGCACAGCUCACAAGCACAGGCUGUGAGCCCUGUGGCACUGAGUGUCCAUUCUUGCCAGUACAGGUAACAAACUGGUCUCUUCAGUGCUGAAAUACCGCUUCAGAUGCUUAACGUGUUCUGAACUGUUUGUUUUUCAAGGUAAGGAAGAAUGAGACCCUUACGCUUUCUUUGUCUGGAAAUAUAUGUAUGCAUAUAAUUAUAAAAAAUAGCCCUGGUCAUUCACACAAACAGAAUAAUUGAAACAGCAUUAAUAGCUAUUAGCUCAGCGAUGAGAAGGCCCUGUUUAGUGAGGCUAAAGGAUGCAAGAGGAAACAAUUGGAAUUCCUCAAGACGAGCUCCCUCUCACAGCACACCCCAUCCAAAACCUCCUCCUUAACGGCUGCCCGGCUGACUUUAAACUGCCAACACCGACAAAAAGGGGAUGUUGCAUCUUUUAUAAACAGCCUUUUGUUUGCCGUUCUGACACCUGCGAAAAGCAAAAUUGUUAUUUUCUUGCUGCUUGUUGCUAGUUUGAUGCCCGCUCUGGGGCCCUACAUCAGAGACACUGUUCAAAACAGGUUGCAGGGGUCCGUUUCCGUGCUGUCUGCCGAUGGUGCUGCCUGAAGGAAAACCAUGGAAACGGAGUUUGACAGGCUCACAGGGACCCACGGCUGCCAGAGCCGCUGCCUUUGAGCGCCUGAUGAAGACAUCACAGAGCAAACACAACAUUAAAACGCUGCUGGCUGCUUUGCAUCACUUAGAAUGCAAAUCUCUUUGUUCUGCUCGGCCCUUGCGUUUUGUAGCCGAGGAAUCUGUGCUAUCAUCUAACAUGGAUUUGCUGACCUUUCUUCCCUCGCUGUCCGUUCUCCUAAAAAAAAAAAAAUAUUUAAAAAAUAUGGUAAAAGAUCAGCUUUUGUGGGAAGGAGGGUGGCGUGGGUCUGUGCAUUUGAAAUGGCCCCAGUUUUUUUCAGUUCCUGGGAUUUCUGUGCACAAAUUAAACACCCAUAUUGCAGAGCAGGCUGGGUUGGGUUGCUUUGUUGCUCCCUGUGUAUUAUUUGACUUGGAUUCAUUUACAUGGCAACUCACAGGGGUAGAUUUUAUGUCAUCUUUAUGCCACAGAUUAAAAGGUAAAAGUAAUCCUUUAUUUGCACAGCACAUCCCCUCCAACCCUUUAAGCCGUACAGAUGAAAAUAGAGGAGAAAAAUGCAAACUCUCCCACCACCAUAAUGCCUACUUUAUAACUUUUUAUGCUAAAUUUAAGUGUGUGGUUAUUAUUCCGCCCUCCAUUUGUAGGUGGCCUGUACUUUUAACUGCAGUUUCUGAUUGCAGUCACUGUCAGACCUUUGAAAUGCCCCACACCUUUGUGCUCAGAUGUGGGAUUUGGGUGGCUCCUGACAGGCUGAGCUAUGCAUGGGGCCAUCAGGAAGGCUUUUUUGCU
ensembl:lncRNA